ACUCUUAUAGCUCAGUUGGUUAGAGCAUCUGUCUAAUACGCAGAGGGCCGAUGGUUCAAGUCCAUCUAGGAGUA
rnacentral:tRNA from 1 species